GAUGAACGCUGGCGGCGUGCCUAAUACAUGCAAGUCGAGCGAACGGACGAGACGCUUGCUUGUCUGAUGUUAGCGGCGGACGGGUGAGUAACACGUGGAUAACCUACUUAUAAGACUGGUAUAACUUCGGGAAACCGGAUCUAAUACCGUAGAAUAUUUUGAACCGCAUGGUUCAAAAGUGAGAGACGGUGUUGCUGUCUCGUAUAGAUGGAUCCGCGCUGCAUUAGCUAGUUGGUAAGGUAACGGCUUAUCAAGGCAACGAUGCGUAGCAGAGCGGAGAGGGUGAUCAGCCACACUGGGAGGGAGACACGGUACAGACGCCCACAGGUGGCAGCCGUAGGGAUUCUUGAGCAAUGGGCGAAAACCUGACCGAGCAACGCCGCGUGAGUGAUGAAGGUCUUCGGAUCGUAAAACUCUGUUAUUAGGGAAGAAAAUAUGUGUGAGUAACUGUACACAUCUUGACGGUACAUAAUCAGAAAGCCACGGCUAACUAAGUG
rnacentral:rRNA from 1 species